CAGACAAGACCUUAGCUUUGCAACAUGUACAUACAAAAGAUGCACGUGCAGUUGGACAGGUGAAUAAUACAGAGUGACGUAAAUGAGGUACCGGCUCGUUCGAUAUGACGGAGGAAUGGAGAUCAUUUUAUAUAAAAGGGACGCAGAAUUCUAAAAUUUUCAUACAGAGGACAUUUACUACUGGGUGAUAAAUACAUAUUCACAUUUCUGAAAAUAAAUUUUCAAAAAACUGACGCCAUGGUUUCCGCCAAAAUUAAUUUCCUCGUUUUCGUCGUGGCUGUAGCUGUCCUGGUGGACGUGAUGGCUUCCCCCAUUGACCAAGAUGGCGAAAUUGUUGAUGCCCCAACCCCGAUUCGUGUAAAGAGGUCGUGUCUCGGUAAGGACGCAAAAUGCCAAGCUGACGGAAGUCUGGGCAAUUGCUGUUCCGGAUACUGCCACCAAUGGGCCGGGUACAGCCAUGGAUUCUGCACCUAAAUAUUUAUUUGUAGUGUCAGAGCAGAAUUUAAUAAAGAAUUUACAUAAAAUUAUUAAUAUGUCGACAUAAUCUGAACAUUUAAUAAACUAUUAUUUAAGUGUAAUAAUACUGUAUUGAGGUGAUGUUUGAAAUAUAAACGGGGUAUUUAUUACA